rnacentral:rRNA from 1 species
AUUGAACGCUGGCGGCAGGCCUAACACAUGCAAGUCGAGCGAGCGGCGGACGGGUGAGUAAUGUCUGGGAAACUCCCUGAUGGAGGGGGAUAACACCUGUAAACGUUAGCUAAUACCGCAUACCAUCAGAUGUGCCCAGAUGGGAUUAUCUAGUAGGUGGGGUAACGGCCCACCUAGUCGACGCUCACUCGCUGGUCUGAGAGGAUGACCAGCCACACUGGAACUGAGACACGGUCCAGAUGCCUACGGGAGGCAGCAGUGGGGAAUAUUGCACAAUGGGCGCAAGCCUGAUGCAGCCAUGCCGCGUGUGUGAAGAAGGCCUUCGGGUUGUAAAGCACUUUCAGCGGGGAGGCGUUACCCGAAGAAGAAGCACCGGCUAACUCCGUGCCAGCAGCCGCAGUAAUAC